rnacentral:rRNA from 1 species
AAUGAACGUUGGCGGCGUGGAUUAGGCAUGCAAGUCGUACGGGUCGGUGUAGCAAUACAACGGCAAGUGGCGAAAGGGAGAGUAACACGUAGAUACCUACCCUCUGGUCGGGGAUACCGCGGCAUAACCGCAAGUAAUACCCGAUAAAAUCUCCGGAUCAAAGGUGUGAUUCCGCCGGAGGAGGGGUCUGCGUUCUAUCAGCUUGUUGGUGAGGUAAUGGCUCACCAAGGCUAAGACGGAUACGGGGUGUGAGAGCAUGCCCCCGCUCACUGGGACUGAGACACUGCCCAGACACCUACGGGUGGCUGCAGUCGAGAAUCUUCGGCAAUGGGCGCAAGCCUGACCGAGCGACGCCGCGUGCGGGAUGAAGGCCUUCGGGUUGUAAACCGCUGUCGAGGGGAAUGAAGUGUAGGUGGGUACUCCCAUCUAUUUGACAGAUCCCUGGAGGAAGCAUGGGCUAAGUUCGUGCCAGCAGCCGCCGCAGUAA